rnacentral:rRNA from 1 species
GACGAACGCUGGCGGCGUGCUUAACACAUGCAAGUCGAACGGAAAGGCCCUGCUUUUGUGGGGUGCUCGAGUGGCGAACGGGUGAGUAACACGUGAGUAACCUGCCCUUGACUUUGGGAUAACUUCAGGAAACUGGGGCUAAUACCGGAUAGGAGCUCCUGCUGCAUGGUGGGGGUUGGAAAGUUUCGGCGGUUGGGGAUGGACUCGCGGCUUAUCAGCUUGUUGGUGGGGUAGUGGCUUACCAAGGCUUUGCCGGGUAGCCGGCCUGAGAGGGUGACCGGCCACAUUGGGACGGAGAUACGGACCAGACUCCUACGGGAGGCAGAAGGGGGGAAUAUUGCACAAUGGGCGGAAGCCUGAUGCAGCAACGCCGCGUGCGGGAUGACGGCCGUCGGGUUGUAAACCGCUUUCGCCUGUGACGAAGCGUGAGUGACGGUAAUGGGUAAAGAAGCACCGGCUAACUACGUG